GCAGUCCAUGGCUUCAGAGUUCACGACCAUCCAGGUCUUCAAGGUUCCCAGCAUCCUCCCUGCUGACCGCAUGACUGAUAAGUUGAUGAUUCACUUCCUGCGGCCAAGGAAUGGGGGAGGAGAAGUGCUGGGAGUAAAGUUCCCUAUGAGCACCCCAGGACAGGCACUGGUGACUUUUGAACUCCUGGAAGUGGCUGAUCGUGUUUUACAGCGGGACCAUGUCCUGGAGCUGGAGGGACAGAGGUUCCCCUUGGAGCUCAAGAAACUAGAGAUUGACAUUCCAGCAGAGACAAAUCUAGAUCUCCAGAUGUUUCCAGACCAAAGUUCUGUAUGGGAGUUGCUUCAGCGACAUCGUUUCAGAGUGACACAUGGCAGCCCUGGGCAACUGCACCUGCAAGGGACCUUCCUAGGCCUGAGUGUGUUACGGACUCAGCUGCAAGAACUGCUGCUCACUGCACCCCCUGCCCGUGUGCGUGGCCCCCCUCAUCAUCACUACCCCCUGAAAGAGCAGGAGUAUUUAGGAACGCUCCACAUCAAUGGGUACGCUGCUGGGUCCAAAACCAAGGUUUCUCAGGAAUCCACCAUGCUUUUAAAGCAAAAUGGAGCUGUGGACAUAGGUGGGACUCAUCACAGUAGAAGCCCUCCAUUUACUGGAAGCACAAUCCCCAGCCGUGAGUCUCUGCGUAGUCCUGCUGCCACUGCAGUGUUGUCUGGCUCCUUUGAAUCUUCCUCUUUCACUUACCCCUCCCCUAGCAGGUCUGGGGACUCAUCCCAUGAGUGGUUAGAGUCUUUCCGCAGUGAUGCCAGCACCCCAAGGCACAGGGCUGACCUCUCCUUCAGCGCCUCUUCUUCCCAGAGUCACUCCCCUCGUUCCAGUGCCCACCCUCAGACAUCCUUCGUCAUCGACACACACGUAAUCCGCUAUGCCCAAAGAUUCAAGAGUGUGGAUGUGCAAGAGAUCUUGAAGAAACAUUCUUUAAGAAUGAAUGUGCAAGGAGAAGGCUCUGAAUUGAGCACUGUAACGCUGCUCCCUGCUUUUUAUGAGGCUGAGAGGGGCACACAGAGAACUCUUCAGAGCACCUUGAAGAGUGCCUGUGAUGAGCUGUCCAGCUUCCUGUCUCUGGUCGGCCAAUCUCUGCGCACGCAGGAGGUACACCUGUCCUCAUGUGACCAUGAUCAGCGGGCUGCAAUCGCUAAGAGUAUUCCAGUGCUGGCAGAAGUCUACUCUGUGCUUGUCAAGCAACGGGGGGACACCAUCUAUCUGGUGGGAUCCUCCAGAGGGAGCUACGAGAUGAAGCUGAGGUUGCUGGGAGAGGAGCUCAGUUUGCCAGGUGUGGGUCGCGAGGGGAGGGGGGUGCGACCCGGCAGGACUGUCACACGGAGCUCCUCUCUGCCUCGCACGCCCAGUAGGACAGGAGUCCGGGUACCUGAACAGGGAUCUCCCAGAGCUCAGGGGUAUUCUCCCAGUAAGUACCAGAAAGAGGACGUGGGACCUGGGAAGCAGAUGCAGGAGAUGGCUGCAUUAAUGCCUUGUGCAGACAGAGAGGUCCCAAGAAGGAGAAGCCACUCUGAGACCCGUAAUAAGCAUUUGAUAGAAAGACCAGUACAGGGUGAGAGCAGCCUAAGAAACAUGCAGUCUGGUAUACAGAAACAUGUAGGGCUGGACCCUGUAACAAUGCAGAGGACUGAGAGACAAAGUAGAAAAACACCAACAAUACUAAAAUCACUGGGUGAUUUGUCAAAACAAAAACAAAAAGUGAUGAAGCAUAAAUGACCAAAGUCUGUGGAUGUGUAUGUUCUUUUACAGCUGUGCCUGAGCAAAACUAAUGUGUACAAGUAUGUAUUACCUAAGGAAUUGAGAGUUAAAACUUGCUAAUGGUAUGAAAAUAAGAGUCUAGGCUGUGUUUUUAACUUCUCAAAAUUACGACAGCCCAAUUUCAGUGCUUCAGCUGCAUUGUGAAACAUGUGGACUGUAGAGAAAAUUGCUUGUGCAUGCCUAACAAGUCAGCGAGAGUGAGAGUAUGACAUUUCAGAAUGGGGUACAGCAGGCAAAAAGCCUGGCCAAUAAAUACCCUUUUCUCACAAGAAUUAAAAAAACUGAAUCUCAGUACUGUUCCUUCUUUAAAUACCAACAUUUUCAGGGCAUGUUCUCUCUCUGUGAUGUUCCUACAUCACUUUACAAAACCAUUAAAAGCCCAAGGAUUUGUGUGCCAAGGCUGACCAGCACCUCACUCUCUUGAACACAACUGAACACAAUUAAAAAUAGCUGUGAACUGUCCUUGAUACAACUUAUUGUAAAUAUUGUCAUUUCCUACUAUUGUGAUGACUCACUCAUGACCAACAGAAUCGUUUGUAUAAUACACUCAUGUGCUAAAAUAUUUGGUAUCCCUACCAAUUAACAUGCUGAGCCUCAGCAAGUUGUUAAAAAAUAUGAACAGUUUUCUUGAAUUCCACAAGACUUUAAGACACUUCAGGCAGCUUUCAGAAAUGAUUGGGAGUGUUCGGUAUUCAGUAAAAUAAUGAUGUGUGGGACUGACCUGCUCAACCCAUAAUUUUCAACAGGAUUAAGGUUCAGGGCUUAAUCAGAUGCUGAUGGAAGUCUGUCUCUUGUCCUGAAGAUGACUAUGGAUUGUACUCAGGCUGCUCAUUUGCCUUAAUAUUUUAUUCAGUGAGUGUAUAGAAAGAAGACUGUACCAUGUCUUGUGAAGGUGUUGAUUAAGGUAAAUUAAAGUUUCCAGCACCAUGUUUAGAAGCUGCUAGCUGUAGUAUCUGUGGCAUUUUAAAGGAAAAGGAUUGCAUAAUCCAGCCUCAUUGUUCUACGCAUUUGAAAAUAAUUAUAUUUUACAUAUGUUAUACCAAUGGAGCUGUAUGUUUUGAUGUUAAGAUUACGAAGUAAAGUCUUCAUUGAAAUUAAGUGUUUACUCCUUUUGUGUGUUUCAAAGCCUUUCAGUAUAUGUACCGAAAUCUUCAGAAUUUAGGGGCUUUGAAGUGCGAAAUGCAAACUGAAACAAAACAAAAAGAAAACAACACUUAACAUGCAUACCACAAAAGAAAAAAGAAACUGAAAUAGUCCAUGAUGUGUUUUCAGUGACUCUAAAAUGGCAGGAAAGGUGUCAGAUCAUGUUGACUGUAGCCAUUUGUGUUCACAGUAACUAAAAUGAUACAAAUACAAAUAAUUGUUUCAGUAAUCACAAACAUUAAAAUAUUACAUUAAAAUGUAGAAUCUUUAAAGGACACAAGCAAAAAAGCAAGCAAACUUUCCCCCAGUAUCUCCAUUAUUUGUGAUUGGCAAGAACACAUAACAAGACCACAGCUGAGACAAAACAAUCACCUUGUGCCUAAGGAGUACCUCAAAACGGGCAACUCACAUUGUGCAUUGAAAAAUGUGAGUCCCAUACACAUUCGUUUUACUGUUAACAACAGUGAUCAUGUCUGAAAAUCCAGCAUGUCUGCCAGCUUUUUUACAGAACUGCACAAAUGUAAGAAGAGCUAUUAAAAAUUCACUUACUGUCA
rnacentral:lncRNA from 1 species